GUGGAGGGCUGGAUGGCCGCGCUGUCGCAUCUUCGAUGCGAUGGCGAGGAAAGUCCGGACUCCCUGAAGAGAAGGUGCCGGGUAACGCCCGGGCGGAGCAAUCCGACGGAAAGCGCCACAGAAAACAAACCGCCAUGCAUGUCGUGGCAAGGGUGAAACGGUGGGGUAAGAGCCCACCGGGGGGCUGGCAACAGCGCCCGCAUGGCAAGCCCCACCUGGGAGCAAUGCCGAAUAGGGAUCGCAUCAUGGGGCACUUCACCCCUGCGGUCCGGGUUGGCAGCUAGAGCUUGCGCGCAAGCGUCGGCCGAGAGGAAUGGUCAUCCAACCCGCGGGGCAACCUGCAGGGGGACAAAAUCCGGCUUACAGGCCCUCCACGCAU
rnacentral:RNase_P_RNA from 2 species